UUUUCUUUUUUGCUGGAGAGCAUUUUCAUGAAGCACAAUCACAGAGGAACAGAAUGUCCUGAUGUUUGGCUGUUUCAGAUAUAAAUAAGGAUGCUCAGAGAGGAGCCGCUCAUACACCUAAAAAGUGGCAGAGAAGUCACUGGAGCCAAGAUUAUUCUGUUGAUUUCCAAUUAAUCUUCUACUAGAAGAUAUUCUCUGAUGUUCCUUAUCAUGAAAAAGUUGCUUAGAAGCGCAACCCCAUCCUGGCUACCCACAAGUGUUGAGGAACAAUGACCUCUUGGCUGAGGGCCCUGAAUCCAGGCCAACCCCACAAGCUUUACAUGCAUUGAGGCUAAUGGAGCUUUUAUUCCAAUGAGUUGGGCCCCAACCCACCUUUGUGGAGAGAGGAAUAUUAAAAAAAAAGAAGAAGAAGAAGAAAGAAAUACUUAAUGUUCGUGUAGCAGAUGAAAAAUUUCACAAGAUAAAUUAAAGUGUUUUCUGGCUGAAUGGAGAAACCGGGGCAGGAUGGUGGAGAUAAUUUUCCCAGGACUCAAAAUGAUUUAUCUUAUCUCUGCAUUCUUUAGACAAGAGGUUCCAUUUAUUUAGUCAUUUAUUUUAUUAGUUUUCUGAAGACAUCCCCCCUCCCACCCCUGCUGUCGACACAAAGGCACAGCAUUUGGCCCAAGGAGCACAGGUCUGGGAAAGGAGACAGGGAUCCUUGGGUCUAGCCUGUCAUUCACUCAGUCCUUGUGCCAGGCACUGGCCAUGUGCUGGAGAGGGGACUGUGCUGGAAUGGGCAUGGUUCCUGUCCUCGUGAACUGCAGUCUAAUGGGAGAUACAGACUCAUAAGUGAAAGAACAGGAUUCUGUGAUGAACACCGUGCAAUCUCUGCCACCCACACACUCCAGUAAUGGGCUAUGAUGGGGCCUCACAAAAUCAUCUAGCCCAGCAGUUCUCAAUAGGGGUGAUUUUUGUCCACCAGGAACAUUUUGCAAUGUCUGGAGACAUUUUUGGUUGUCAGAACUCAGGGGAGAGGGGUGGAGGUUACAGGCAUCUAGAGGGUAGAAGCCAGGAUACUGCUCAAUAUCCUACAAAGUAAGAAUUAUCCAGCAGCCCCAAAUGUCAAUAAUGCCAGAUUUGACAAACUCUCCUCUCGUUUGUCCUCCUGCCUCUGGAGAGUUCUGUGCUUAAGUUAUCCUGAAAGCCAUCUCAAAUCUCCCUGCUUGAUGCUGCUGGGCUCUGUUCAGGAGCUCUUCUGUGGGAUCACACAGGGUAUUUCCUUCUGCUCUCCUCUCUUAACUGGAGAUAGAGCUGUGUUAUAAAAGUAGCAUUAAUGAAAAAAUUGUGUGAAAACAAUUGGUGGUAGAAAAACCUUCAGGACAGCAUCUCAAAUUGGGAUAUGGAGUGGAUAAAAAACUAGGAUGGUGCCAGGCUGCCUCACAUUUCCUUUCUUCUGGAACUUUCUGCCACACACAAAUCUCACUUGCAGAGUUCUUGGCAGUGGAAAUAAUCUGGGACUAGGUUGAGUCCUUAAAUAGUUUCCCUUUUGCAUGCCCCGACCAUUAUCCUGAAUGUUUGUAAAAGAUUCUGCCAAGGCUUUUUUCUUUGGAUAUUCAUGUAACUGUAUGUUACGUACCAUGGAGUUAUUUUUGAGCAAUUAAGGUUCCCCAUGCCAGGUUUUCUCAUCAGCUACCAAAGUCAUAAAGAGGGGGCCUUGUGUCUGGCUUUCCCAGGGAAGCAGAUGGCACUUUGGGUACUGGCAGGAGACAGGUGUGAAGUUUCAGGGGCCGGAGGGCUUGUCUGGCAUACUAUGCAAAUUUGGCUUCAUUUUGCAUCCCUCCGAGGAGCUACGACCAAAUGGAGUCUGCUUUUAUAUCUCUGUCAUGUGUGUGUGUGUGUGUGUGUGUGCGCGCGUGUGUGUGUGUGUAUGUGAGAGAGAGAGAGAGAGAGAGAGAGAGAGAGAGAGAUUGAUUGUGAUGGAGGCAUAUGAACAUGCAUUGGGAUGUUUGAUAUGGACUAUGCCUUUUGCAGGUAAAAAUGAAGCAAUUCUUAGGUGGCAAGGAAAACUUAUUUUAUCCUGGUCUAAACUAUACAAAAAAAGAGAUAGUUAAAUCCCCAAGAGUAAGCUCUCUGGGACGACAGUGUGUAACUCUCUCCUUGACUUGAGGAGCAUCUGUGUGUACUUCUUGCCUUCAGGAUACUGAGACCUCUAAGUCACUAACUUAGCAGGAAAGAGUCACCAAGGGGCUCAACCAAGGAGUGCUGAUGAUGAUCUUAUUCUUGGAUCACAGGUUAGCAAUAGUUGCAAUUAGUGAUUUGUGUUAAUUAGCCUGUUCUAGAUUAUAUGUACCGUGUUUCUCUUUAGAAAGGGCAUUAUAUGAGGAUGACCAUAAGCCAAAGAUUUUUCAGGAACAAUCCCAGUUUUAAAUGCCUUUUCCUUAUAUCUCCCAAAGUACUUG